rnacentral:lncRNA from 1 species
GAACUUUUAUUCGACAAAUAGCCGCUUUUCUAUUCGGUGAGAAACGCCGGUUCACCUGCCCAGCGAUGAGGAAAUCGAGUGAACGCAAAGCUGAGAUGCCAAUCCAGCCAAGAAAGAGAUGGCGGUUUACCAGGGCAUGAAGAUGAGGCUUCUUUCUGACGACUUAUCGGACGAGGAUUGGUGCCGGAAUCGCGAGGUGCAUUACUCAUGUCUAGACGUGAUUGUUAUUGAGCUGUCGGAAGCGAUCAGCUUGUCCUAUUGUGUGACAAACACGACCGUGCAGCAUAAGCCCGUCAUGUCUCCAUUAUUCACAUAUACAACGGCAAUGAAUUAUUGAAGUUUCUUAAGACCUCUGCCUCCCUCCGUUUGGCCUUAUACACUGAGACCUGCGCCUACUCUUUUACAUUCAAAAUUCCUAGAAAACGUUAUUAAAAAACUACACACACAGCCACGUAGUAUGUAUAAUGUACAGAAUUUAAGACUUCCGACAUGUUCGGCCAUGGCUUUCUCUUCCAUGUCGACGACGCAUUUCCGACUCAGUGUCAAGCAUCGUUAGGAGGCUUUUUGAAAACGACGCCAUCCUCUUUAAGAUUUUCGUUGCCCGACUCGUCGCCCAUUAAGCUCAAGAGCUGUUACAGUCUACAUAAAUAGGCCUACGCGAUAGUUUGUACAUGUAUAACGCGGGUAAAUACGUACGCAACACAUGCGGCGAUACAUAUAGAACUUUCAACAAAUACGGCCCAAUGCAAAGGGCAGAGCUUUUUUGAAUGUUUUGUAUAUGCAACAUUGGCCACGCCCUUGAUCGAUUUUCAAUCAAAGGCGCGUCGUGAUAUCGUUGCGAGAUGCGUUUACCGUUUUACUGUAUACAUAUAUCUAUGGGAACGGUCAAAACGCAUCAAUCUCGACUUUCUAUUCAUCUCCUUUUUUUAUGGUCUAUUUUCUAUUUUUGAAAGAAAAAAGAGGACCAAAAAUGGCAUAACUCACGGUAGAUCUUGAUGGUUCCGUCCGUCUCUCCUCGUGGAUUCUUGGCGACGCAACGAUACCUUUCAUUCAUAGUCGAAAUCAAUAAAAAAAAAAAUAUCCGAUUUGAAUUGAAAAGAAAGUGCGAAUAGUUUCUAAAAUAACGUCCAGUUGAAAUAUCGAAUGAAAAAAAGGGGGGUGAAACUCACGGUCCGUAAUCACGCACAGUCAAAUGGCGAAUGGUUAAUUUCAGAUGGGUCAUGUAGGACGAUGGGUUCAUGUUGGGUGUCGCAAACGGGGCAUCACCGGCAACAUUUUCUAAAUCAACCCAAUUGCAUAAUUAAUAAUCAUAGAAUAUCAAUUCACAAUUGAUGUCUUAACUCUUCUUGUCGUGAAAUCCAUUGUUGGACGAGACGGUGUAGGAUGGCCAGGUGGCGUUCAUGUGCUGCUGCGGCACUGCCGCCGUGACACCGUUAAUACUUUCGAUCCUGUACUUGGUCGGAUCGUGAAGCACCUGGCCGUCCGGUCGUGCCCAAUAGUGCAGCGCAGCCGGAUGAGCUUCCAGCCAACAUUCGAUGGUCACAGUUGCGCCCAGCGGAGAACCCACUAGCUGUUGAGGUACCCAAACCAUUGGCGGAACUGUUCCAGCAUUUUCAAUCAAAAAAUCGCGAUGAAAAGCAGUUAGUAUUGAAUACAUCGCCGAUAUUCAGAAAAUUUUUUUUGAAUAUUCUAUUAGAUUUUAUGAGUAGCAAUGAUUUCAGCUAUGAAAUGCAAUACAAUUUUUCCUUCGCAUUAAACGUCAUGAUGACUUUAAAAAAAACCAGUCGUAAAAUUCACAUUUCGCGGAAUGAUUCAUGGAAUAAUAACAAUUUCGUGAAUAUUAAAGUAUGGCGCAUUAGAUCGCCGCUAUUUGAAAGGCUAAAGUUGAAUUGCCCCAAGGAUGGUAACCAUCAUUAUGAAUUCACUCUCGUGCGCUAUGUAUGGCUGUCCGCUUUCAUUUUUGCUACCGUUCCGCCUCUUGCUCUUUAAUUUUUGCCCAGCUCUGCAGAAUCCCCAGCAAAAAGUUAGGCCUUACACACACAUGACGUCACUGCAACCACAACAGUGACUUAUACGCAUUCUUAUCUAUCUGUUUAAUUCUUUCUUUUGCGUGACUAAAACUCGUGUUGCCUCUAUUUCUCCUCCAAUAAAUCGUCGUAUUUUUCUUUUUUUUUAUUAUAAAAAUAAAAUCGUUGAUAAUUGCGAAAAAUCAAAAAGAUAGAAGAGAAGAAUUUGAUCAAGUAAAAGAAAGCAAAUCCUUUCAGCGAAAAGCUAAAAACCGCCUAUAGUCUGAUGCGGAAAUGUUGGGCUGCGCACGUAACUGGCUGUUAAGCAGCUUUUCUAUAAUCAGAGAGACUGACGUAAAAAAAAUAAAUAAAUACUCAAUAGAGCAAUCCGAUAAUGUAAAUCAAUGUCUGGACAACAACAACAAAAAAAGAAAAAAAGAAAAAGAGAUGAAGGAUGUACUCUUACAAUCGACGCUGACAUAGAUCCUCUUGCUGACCGUUGGGGGCACACCGUUAGAGGCGAUGCAGAGGUAGACUCCCAUAUCCAGCCGACUGAUUUUCUGGAGUUCCAAGCUCGAGCCUUCCACUUCCGUGCCUAGGUGUACGUGAAAGAAAAGCAACUGGCACUAACUAGAGAAGCUCUUGUUGGUUGAGAUUUUACGGCCGUCCUCUCGGCGCCACUUGACCGACGGCGUUGGGGACCCGCGAGCCUGACAGGUGAGGCUUAGGUCGCUACCUUCGCGCACAAUCACGUCCGAGCUGCUGGCGCUGUCUUCGAUCGUCGGCGGGACUGCGUUCGUUUUUGAUGAAAUAGAAUAAUUCGUAUUAAAAUUUGAUGUAUUGUAAGGUCAUGUCGUUCAAGAAACGAUUAAGUUUUA